CUUUGAGGUCGUGGAUAAUGAUAUGCUUACCGAAGGUUUUGAGCCGUCGAUAAGUUCCUCCCUGAUUUAAAAUCUCAGUUGGGGUUUUCGUUCCCAAUUUCACUUUCGAAAACCCUUCGUUGAGUUCGUCGUUUUCUUCAGACACUUCCCUCCCUUUUCACGUCCCGCCUUUUCUUCACCCUCCCUCACUUUCUCGGAUAGGGUUCCUUCACGAUGGUUUUGGAAUAGGGUUCCUUCACGGUGUGUUCUGGUUUGGGAGUCUUGGGCUAGGGUUCGAGUGGUUGCUGCGUUGAGGGGUGGUGGUGUCGAGGGUGAGUAUCAACAUCGAGUGGUUGCAGGUUGGAGACGUUGUGAAGAGAUUAAAUGUGCUAUGGCUAAAAAUUUAUGGCGUAAUAGUUCUACUGAUAUCAACAGUGAGCUGUAUAAAGGUUAUCAAAGAGGUAACUCAGAGGGACAAGUCAAUGAGAUAGUUUGAGCUUUUGAUUUUCUAAAUUCAAAUGAUAAUAGAUAUAAUGUCGGUAUAUGGUACAACUCAACCUACCGUCAGGACACAGGAUUUACUACCAAUGCAUUUUUGCGGAUUCCUCGCUCUGUAAAUCUGGCAGCGGCGCUUGGACGGGCUGUUCAUAUUGAUGAGGUCUUUACACAGACUCAUAUUCGCAAGGGGACUGGGGAAUAUGUUGAUGAGAGGUCUCGCAAGACCAUUGUAAG